rnacentral:rRNA from 1 species
GCCCUUCGGGGCUUUUUGGUGAUUCAUGAUAACUUUACGGAUCGCAUAGCCUUGCGCUGGCGACGGUUCAUUCAAAUUUCUGCCCUAUCAACUUUCGAUGGUAAGGUAUUGGCUUACCAUGGUUUCAACGGGUAACGGGGAAUUAGGGUUCGAUUCCGGAGAGGGAGCCUGAGAAACGGCUACCACAUCCAAGGAAGGCAGCAGGCGCGCAAAUUACCCAAUCCCGACACGGGGAGGUAGUGACAAUAAAUACUGAUACAGGGCUCUUUUGGGUCUUGUAAUUGGAAUGAGUACAAUUUAAACCUCUUAACGAGGAACAAUUGGAGGGCAAGUCUGGUGCCAGCAGCCGCGGUAAUUCCAGCUCCAAUAGCGUAUAUUAAAGUUGUUGCAGUUAAAAAGCUCGUAGUUGAAACUUGGGCCUGGCUGGCGGGUCCGCCUCACCGCGUGCACUCGUCCGGCCGGGCCUUCCUUCUGAAGAACCUCAUGCCCUUCACUGGGCGUGCUGGGGAAUCAGGACUUUUACUUUGAAAAAAUUAGAGUGUUCAAAGCAGGCCUUUGCUCGAAUACGUUAGCAUGGAAUAAUAAAAUAGGGCGUGCGUUUCUAUUUUGUUGGUUUCUAGAGACGCCGCAAUGAUUAACAGGAACAGUCGGGGGCAUCAGUAUUCAGUUGUCAGAGGUGAAAUUCUUGGAUUUACUGAAGACUAACUACUGCGAAAGCAUUUGCCAAGGAUGUUUUCAUU